GCAAAACAAGUCACCCUUUUGCCAAACGUCCAAACUAAGCAGUCAUGACUGGAUGCUACACUCACUAAACACAUACUGAAUGCAUAAUUUUAAACAACAAAAGCCCUCGAUUUUUUACAAUAGAAACAAGAAUCCAUGUCAUAUUCAGCUGAUUCCAAGAUUCAAUCAGUGCUACCAAUGCAUUCAAUCAGGAAAUUAUGAAGGCUCCAUCGAUUACCACGCUUAAACACGUUGAUUUUUCAUAACAGCAGUUGCCAGGAAGCCACAUUUGCUAAAGUCUUGAUCCAGUAACAAGGCUCUUUCUCCCUUCUCAAUAACCUCACUCACAGUCGAUGAUUAUUUGAUUACUAUGACCAAAUUGAAAGAAAACAGCUUUAUUGAAUUCUAAGAAUCAAAGCUGGAAUUCACCCAUGUAAAAUUGACUCUUCUGCAAUUGAAGUGUGUCCAAAUAAGCCAAGGACAAAAUCGCGCAAAGGCUAACCUGCGACGGGAACCGCAAGGGCUCCAGAAAUCCAUUGAUGCGCACUUGCAGAACCAGUCCUUUCAUAGGUCGAAGCAAAGACCGGAAGCUUCCCGCUGAACGCAGCCGCCGCAGCUCUCCCCUCUACAAUCCAAAGAAAAGAGACCGAUCAAAUGAAUCCGAUGACGAUCGAUCUAAUAGAGCGGACGAAACGCAAAGAAAUGGAAACGUACCGGAGUAGAAGCGAGAGCCCUUGGAGGCAGAGGAGAGAAGCGACCUGGCGGCUCUGGAAGGAGACGCGAAGCUGUGAGAGAUCCAUUGAUGCGCACUUGCAGAACCAGUCCUUUCAUAGGUCGAAGCAAAGACCGGAAGCUUCCCGCUGAACGCAGCCGCCGCAGCUCUCCCCUCUACAAUCCAAAGAAAAGAGACCGAUCAAAUGAAUCCGAUGACGAUCGAUCUAAUAGAGCGGACGAAACGCAAAGAAA
rnacentral:lncRNA from 1 species